GAUGAACGCUGGCGGCGUGCCUAAUACAUGCAAGUCGAGCGAACGGACGAGAAGCUUGCUUCUCUGAUGUUAGCGGCGGACGGGUGAGUAACACGUGGAUAACCUACCUAUAAGACUGGGAUAACUUCGGGAAACCGGAGCUAAUACCGGAUAAUAUUUUGAACCGCAUGGUUCAAAUGUGAGAGACGGUCUUGCUGUCACUUAUAGAUGGAUCCGCGCUGCAUUAGCUAGUUGGUAAGGUAACGGCUUACCAAGGCAACGAUGCAUAGCCGACCUGAGAGGGUGAUCGGCCACACUGGAACUGAGACACGGUCCAGACUCCUACGGGAGGCAGCAGUAGGGAAUCUUCCGCAAUGGGCGAAAGCCUGACGGAGCAACGCCGCGUGAGUGAUGAAGGUCUUCGGAUCGUAAAACUCUGUUAUUAGGGAAGAACAUAUGUGUAAGUAACUGUGCACAUCUUGACGGUACCUAAUCAGAAAGCCACGGCUAACUACGUG
rnacentral:rRNA from 1 species